GGUACUUGUACCAACUGGAUGAGCAGCGAACGGGUGAGUAACGCGUGGGGAAUCUGCCUUUGAGCGGGGGACAACAUUUGGAAACGAAUGCUAAUACCGCAUAAAAACUUUAAACACAAGUUUUAAGUUUGAAAGAUGCAAUUGCAUCACUCAAAGAUGAUCCCGCGUUGUAUUAGCUAGUUGGUGAGGUAAAGGCUCACCAAGGCGAUGAUACAUAGCCGACCUGAGAGGGUGAUCGGCCACAUUGGGACUGAGACACGGCCCAAACUCCUACGGGAGGCAGCAGUAGGGAAUCUUCGGCAAUGGACGAAAGUCUGACCGAGCAACGCCGCGUGAGUGAAGAAGGUUUUCGGAUCGUAAAACUCUGUUGGUAGAGAAGAACGUUGGUGAGAGUGGA
rnacentral:rRNA from 1 species